GAGGCUUUCAUCCACAGGGAAUUCUGUCCUCCUCAGAAACACAGCUGUAGAGCAAAGCCUUAUUACUGCUGCAGGAAAAAAAGAAACACAUGCUUCAGUGACUUUUGUCCUGUUACUGUCUUCUCAUAUGACCUAACACUAUUGCUCAGCAAAAAGAGGAAAUACAUUGCAGGCCUGGUUUACCAGCUCUCUGGCAUACACAGAAAAGUCCUCACUGUUUUGCUCUAGGCAAGUAUUCUUUUUAUAAAUGUUUAGAAUCAGUCCCAGGAGCAGAACAGUGCUCAGC
rnacentral:lncRNA from 1 species